rnacentral:rRNA from 1 species
UACAGAGGGGAGCAAGCGUUGUCCGGAGUUACUGGGCGUAAAGCGCACGCAGGCGGUCUGCUAAGUUUGGAGUGACAGUUGGUGGCUCAACUACCAAAGUGCUUUGAAAACUGACAGACUUGAGGACUUCAGAGGGACAGCGGGAAUUCCGGGUGGGAGUGGUGAAAUGCGUAGAGAUCCGGAGGAACACCAAAGGACGAAGGCAGUGUCCUGGGGAGUACCUGACGCUCAGGUG